GACGAACGCUGGCGGCGUGCUUAACACAUGCAAGUCGAACGGAAAGGCCCUGCUUUUGUGGGGUGCUCGAGUGGCGAACGGGUGAGUAACACGGGAGUAACCUGCCCUUGACUUUGGGAUAACUUCAGGAAACUGGGGCUAAUAUCGGAUAGGAGCUCCUGCUGCAUGGGGGGGGUGGGAAAGUUUGGGCGUUUGGGGAUGGACUCGCGGCUUAUCAGCUUGUUGGUGGGGUAGUGGCUUACCAAGGCUUUGACGGGUAGCCCGCCUGAGAGGGGGACCGGCCACAUUGGGACUAAGAUACGGCCCAGACUCGUACGGGAGGCAGCGGUGGGGAAUAUUGCACAGUGGGCGGACGCCUGAUGCAGCAGCGCCGCGUGCGGGAUGACGGCCUUCGGGUUAUAAACCGCUUUCGCCUAUGACGAAGCGUGAGUGACGGUAAUGUGUAAAGAAGCACCGGCUAACUACGUG
rnacentral:rRNA from 1 species